GAUGAACGCUGGCGGCGUGCCUAAUACAUGAAAGUCGAGCGAAGCGGGGACGGGUGAGUAACACGUGGAUAACCUCAUAUAAGACUGGGAUAACUUCGGGAAACCGGAGCUAAACCGGAAACUUGUAGAUGGAUCCGCGCUGCAUUAGCGAGUUGGUAAGGUAACGGCUUACCAAGGUCACGAUGCAUAGCCGACCUGAGAGGGUGAUCGGCCAAACUGGAACUCAAACACGAUCCAGACUCCUACGGGAGGCAGCAGUAGGGAAUCUUCCGCAAUGGGCGAAAGCCUUACUGAGCCACGCCGCGUGAGUGAUGAAGGUCUUCGGAUCGUAAAACUCUGUUAUUAGGGAAUCGGUACCUAAUCAGAAAGCCACGGCUAACUACGUGCCAGCCGCCGCGGUAAUAC
rnacentral:rRNA from 1 species